rnacentral:rRNA from 1 species
UACGUAGGGUGCAAGCGUUGUCCGGAAUUAUUGGGCGUAAAGAGCUCGUAGGCGGUCUGUCGCGUCGAAUGUGAAAAUCCGGGGCUCAACCCCGGACCUGCAUUCGAUACGGGCAGACUAGAGUUCGGUAGGGGAGUCUGGAAUUCCUGGUGUAGCGGUGAAAUGACGCAGAUAUCAGGAGGAACACCGGUGGCGAAGGCGGGACUCUGGGCCGAUACUGACGCUGAGGAGCGAAAGCGUGGGGGAGCAAACAGG